GAUGAACGCUGACAGAAUGCUUAACACAUGCAAGUCUUUGGCGAAGCUGUGCUUGCACAGCCUAGCCAAGGCGGACGGGUGAGUAACGCGUAAGGAACUUGCCCUGCAGUCAGGGAUAACAGACGGAAACGACUGAUAAGACCUGGUAAAGUCAGGCGGACUCAUGUCCAGCCUGAUGAAAGGAGAUGCUGCAGGAGAGCCUUGCGUCCUAUUAGCUUGUUGGUGGGGUAACGGCCCACCAAGGCGAUGAUAGGUAGCCGGCCUGAGAGGGUGGACGGCCACAAGGGGACUGAGAUACGGCCCUUACUCCUACGGGAGGCAGCAGUGGGGAAUAUUGGACAAUGGGGGCAACCCUGAUCCAGCAAUUCUGCGUGCACGAUGAAGGUUUUCGGAUUGUAAAGUGCUUUCAGCAGGGAAGAAAAAAAUGACGGUACCUGCAGAAGAAGCGACGGCUAAAUACGUG
rnacentral:rRNA from 1 species